ACUGUCAAUAAAAAGAUGAAUCUUGAUGAAAGAUUUUGUCAGGAAACUACGGACAUUAAUUUUAAUAUUUUUAAAUUGGACUGAUAUGUAUUUGGCAUCGAUGUACGAAACCCUCUCCCCCUUCUCAGAAUAGUAUGAAAUUAUAAUUUAAGUGAAGAGAUCUAUCUCAUUGAUCACUUGAAUAUUGAUAUUAAUGACACAGCAAUGUCAGAAGGUGUAUAUAAAAUUUUGUCUCACCUGUAAAUCCAACAUGGCCUCCCUGUUCUUUCGACCUCCAGUCUAGUCCUGUGCGGCUUGUAUACACUGCGUGAUAUCUCGUGUUUAAAUAGCUUUAAAGUUUGUUUGACCUAGUUCAUGUCGGUGACGUCAGUUGAUAGGGUCUAAUACUCUAUACUUGUUUUCUUUCAUAAAAGAAACAUAAAUUGUAUUGCACACACAGACCUGAUACAAUGUAUGUACUGUACAAUCUAAUUCACUUAUGAUCGUAGGUGAAUGGAUCAAAAGAUUUAAUUUUUGAUUAGAUUGAAUAUAUAUAUAAAUUCUAAAUUCCUUCAUUACACCCGUGUAUAUUGAAAUUCGACCCCAUGUACAAAGACGGCGAUAUCAAUUAGGGGGGGGGGGGGUUAGGCCUCUUUCUCACACAAACAAACACCCACGCGCACACACACUCACCCAGACCUCUAACUUUACAUAUUUAGGAUUCUUUAUCGUGCUAAAGCAUUAGAUAUCGCAGCGCGCUGGCUCGCUCUGAGUGCUCAGUGACGCCAUUUUUGUUUACAUGCGAUACAACUCGGAUUAAUCAUGACUUAUAGAAAAAAUCCGUUCUGUUGCUAAUUUGUUUGUGCUUGUGAAUGACGUGUCUUUUACAUAUGAAACUCGGAUUUUCCAAUCGAAGUAAACCCUUGAGUUGAUUGCGUUACGCGCACCCUGGUUGAGUUGAGUGGAAUAUUAAGCCUCCAGAUGUCUAUGUACAUGUACACGUGUAUGAUUAAAAUUUUGUUGCACUCGCGGAAGCGAGCUUAUCCUA